UACAGAGGUCUCGAGCGUUAGGCGGAAUUACUGGGCUUAAAGCGUGUGUAGGCGGAUCGGUAAGUACCUUGUGAAAUCCCACAGCUUAACUGUGGAACUGCUUGGUAUACUGCCAGUCUUGAGCCAGCUAGGGGCUACCGGAACAAAUGGUGGAGCGGUGAAAUGCGUAGAUAUCAUGUGGAACGCCAAUGGUGAAAACAGGUAGCUGGGGCUGUGCUGACGCUGAGACACGAAAGCCAGGGGAGCAAACGGG
rnacentral:rRNA from 1 species